rnacentral:rRNA from 1 species
UACGUAGGGUGCAAGCGUUAAUCGGAAUUACUGGGCGUAAAGCGUGCGCAGGCGGUUUUGUAAGCCGGAUGUGAAAUCCCCGGGCUUAACCUGGGAAUGGCAUUCGGGACUGCAAGGCUGGAGUGCGGCAGAGGAGACUGGAAUUCCUGGUGUAGCAGUGAAAUGCGUAGAUAUCAGGAGGAACACCGAUGGCAAAGGCAGGUCUCUGGGCUGACACUGACGCUCAUGCACGAAAGCGUGGGGAGCAAACAGG